rnacentral:misc_RNA from 1 species
AAGUCGUAACAAGGUUUCCGUAGGUGAACCUGCGGAAGGAUCAUUAAAGGUAUCUGCCUUUGGCCGUAAAAAAGCCAAAGGUAGUCCAAGAUCAGCCACUGUGCGCACAUAUCGAACAUUUUUUUGCUUUUGGUAGGCAUCGUUCAAUUUUUUGGACGAUUCUGCCACAAGUAAUGCUUAAUGCAAAAAUAAGCCUCAUUUUGUGACUGAAAUUUUUUUAAUAAAAAAAAUACAACUUUCAACAACGGAUCUCUUGGCUCUC